rnacentral:misc_RNA from 1 species
UCGCGGCUUGCGCCGGCAGUCCGUGCAGAGUCCCCAGCCUUUCCUGCUGGCAACUGCACGCGGGGGUUGCGCUCGUUAUGGCACUUAAGCCGACACCUCACGGCACGAGCUGACGACAACCAUGCAGCACCUCGGAAGACGUCCCGAGGGAAAGGGGCGUCUCUGCCCCUGCCGUCUCCCGUUUGAGCCCGGGUAAGGUUCCUCGCGUAUCAUCGAAUUAAACCACAUGUUCCUCCGCUUGUGCGGGCCCCCGUCAAUUCCUUUGAGUUUCACCGUUGCCGGCGUACUCCCCAGGUGGAAUGCUUAUCGCUUUCGCUUCGCCCCCCAGGCAUAUCUCUGCCCGGACAGCAAGCAUUCAUCGUUUACUGCGUGGACUAC